GAUGAACGCUAGCGGGAGGCCUAACACAUGCAAGCCGAGCGGGAUUUGAGACUAGCUUGCUAGUCUUAAUGGGAGCGGCGUACGGGUGCGGAACACGUGUGCAACCUGCCUUUAUCUGGGAGAUAGCCUUUCGAAUGGAAGAUUAAUAUCCCAUAAUAUAAUGAUUGGCAUCAAUUAUUAUUGAAAGCUCCGGCGGAUAGAGAUGGGCACGCGCAAGAUUAGAUAGUUGGUGAGGUAACGGCUCACCAAGUCGAUGAUCUUUAGGGGGCCUGAGAGGGUGAUCCCCCACACUGGUACUGAGACACGGACCAGACUCCUACGGGAGGCAGCAGUGAGGAAUAUUGGACAAUGGGUGAAAGCCUGAUCCAGCCAUCCCGCGUGAAGGAUUAAGGACCUAUGGUUUGUAAACUUCUUUUCUACAGGGAUAAACCUACUCUCGUGAGAGUAGCUGAAGGUACUGUAGGAAUAAGCACCGGCUAACUCCGUGCCAGCCGCCGCAGUAAUAC
rnacentral:rRNA from 1 species